AUAAAGCAAAAAGCUUUUUCUUCAUCGCCUGUAGCAUUUCAAGAAGUUGUGCUCAUUUCACAUCUGUCAGUCAAACCAGCCAGCUUGGUUGCCAAGGUGACGUAUUCGACCCAAGGUGAUUGUUACAACACUAGCUUUUCUGUGAAAAGGUUGGAGAUUCACUCACUCAAAGGAGAGCUGAAAUCAAGUUCCAUUCUUGUUUUCCAGAAUCCGUGCAGUCCAGUUUGUGACAGUUUGAGAAGUGCUGGAAGUAUUCCUGCUCAGACUUUUCCUCUGUACUUUGGGAAGACGGGAGUGACUCAUGCUGACACCGCAGGUGCCUCAGAUUGUCAAGAAUUCAAAGAGACAUCAGAAUGCUGUGGGAGAGAACACCUAAUGGCACAAAUUAGGGUGAUUUUCACAUGGACGUUGUGCAGCACAUCUGCUGAUGUGCUGAGGUAGAGAAAGAUGUGUGAAGGUGUCCUAUAAAAAAAAAAUAAAAAGAUGAGAGAGAUUACCUAAAUAAAACCACCAAAUGUC